rnacentral:rRNA from 1 species
UACGUAGGUGGCAAGCGUUGUCCGGAUUUAUUGGGCGUAAAGCGCGCGCAGGCGGUCUUUUAAGUCUGAUGUGAAAUCUUGCGGCUCAACCGCAAGCGGUCAUUGGAAACUGGGGGGCUUGAGUACAGAAGAGGAAAGCGGAAUUCCACGUGUAGCGGUGAAAUGCGUAGAGAUGUGGAGGAACACCAGUGGCGAAGGCGGCUUUCUGGUCUGUAACUGACGCUGAGGCGCGAAAGCGUGGGGAGCAAACAGG